rnacentral:rRNA from 1 species
AACGAACGCUGGCGGCAGGCUUAACACAUGCAAGUCGAACGCCCCGCAAGGGGAGUGGCAGACGGGUGAGUAACGCGUGGGAACCUACCCAGUUCUACGGAACAACACAGGGAAACUUGUGCUAAUACCGUAUACGCCCUACGGGGGAAAGAUUUAUCGGAAUUGGAUGAGCCCGCGUUGGAUUAGCUAGUUGGUGAGGUAACGGCUCACCAAGGCGACGAUCCAGUGCUGGUCUGAGAGGAUGAUCAGCCACACUGGGACUGAGACACGGCCCAGACUCCUACGGGAGGCAGCAGUGGGGAAUAUUGGACAAUGGGCGCAAGCCUGAUCCAGCCAUGCCGCGUGAGUGAUGAAGGCCUUAGGGUUGUAAAGCUCUUUCAGUGGGGAAGAUAAUGACGGUACCCACAGAAGAAGCCCCGGCUAACUUCGUGCCAGCAGCCGCAGUAAAAC